GCAGCGUGACGGAAGUGUGGGGUAUAGUCUCGUGCAAGUCUAAUGAAAGUGUAGAUAUUUAAUCACAAAUAAAGAUUCUUGUAGAAAAUUUUAUUUCUUCGUGCGGCACGACGCACGAGUAUCAGUUUCGCGCGAGUCGCGCAGCGUGACGAUGUAUGGGAUGCAUUAAUCUAAUGGAAAAGAUAGAAAGAGAGAGUUGCUUUCGUCGUACAACGUUAUUUUAUUAAAUAAUAUGUUUAGCCACAACAACCGCCUUCAGCUCCUAGCCCUUAUUUUAAUCUGUGAUUUAUUCUUCUCGCGAGCUUUUGAUUUACUAAUACAUCGCAUACUUGCUAUUAUAUCUUAACAGUAUUAUUGAAGCUGUAUUUGAGUGAAUUCUUAAAAGUUGCUGUAACCACAAUUUAUAUAACACAGUCAUAUAAUUAUACGAGGUAUAAGUUAUAAAAAUACUUAUUUUAUUUUAUUUGUUGCAUAUACCUACUUCUUGUAAUAUAUUAAUAUAAUUUAAUUGCUUUUUACUUAAUAUAAGAGAUAUAGUUCUUUUCCUUAAUCAUAAAUGUACUAAUCGUUGAAAACGUAUAAAAUAUAUAAUAUAAGAUGCACACAUUAAAUCCAAAGAAGGAGAAGGAUCAAUUAUGUUAUUAUUAUUGAUUUAAAUUUUGUGUUUCUUUAUCUUGCAAUGCUGAUACUUGUAGAAACAAAAUGGUGCGGUCUGAAGGGAUAUGGGACCAUGAAUUAUAUAGCUCAAAGUUCAAAGUAUCGGAAAAACGUAUUUCAAUAUAUUGGAUCCGCAGUGCUUCAAUUGUUUAUGCCUAACAGAUAGUUACGACCUUAACAAUAAAACGGAUUGGAAUGAAAAUUGCGAAAGGUGGAGUUGGAAAAACAAUGCCAAAUUUUAAUUAAUAACAGCAGAUUCAAUUUUGGCAAAAGGAAGAUCUCCUAUUUAAUCGUAGAACCCUCCUUUCCCAUUAUCGGUGUCAGGAUCCGAUAGUGAUUCUAUUGUACAUAUAAUAUAUAUUUUUGUAAUUUGUUAAUAGUUAUUCAAUAAUUAAGAGCUUGUAUACGUAAAAAAAUUGUGUAAAACAUAAAAAUUUUUGGAUAAUAAUUUCGGAUAAACUAUCGUUUAAUAAAUUUCAAUUGUAUUUUUCGGCGGUACGCCUCUUUUAAUUACAUGGGGAAUCGUUUUUGGAACCAUACUGAAAAAGAACAGAUAUACAAAAAUGAUAAAAUAAGUUGAAAAAUAAAAUUCAA